UUAUGUGAGGUGACCUGGCUCAACAUCUGUGACUGGUUGGAUCGCUAGGAUGGAUCUGGCUGGCCAGGCAGGGGUCUGCUUCCUCGCUCACAGUUCCAUAUGUGCCUGGCCCACAGCUGCACACUCAGUUGAAGAAGAUGGUCUCUGUUCAGAACAGCCUAGACAACCCUCUGGGGGUAGUUCUGCGCUGUCUUAUAGAGUCCCUGUGAGAUGAAAUGACUCAACAAUAAGGCAAGGAGACAUGACAACAAUGAAACAUGUACCGGGCCCUGGACUGGAGCCUGGAAAC
rnacentral:snRNA from 1 species